AUGAAGAACGUAGCGAAAUGCGAUAAGUAAUGUGAAUUGCAGAAUUCAGUGAAUCAUCGAAUCUUUGAACGCACAUUGCGCCCGCCAGUAUUCUGGCGGGCAUGCCUGUCCGAGCGCCAUUUCAACCCUCGAACCCCUCCGGGGGGUCGGCGUUGGGGAUCGGCACUUACCUGCCGGCCCCGAAAUACAGUGGCGGUCUCGCCGCAGCCUCUCCUGCGCAGUAGUUUGCACACUCGCACCGGGAGCGCGGCGCGUCCACGGCCGUAAAACAACCCAAACUUCUGAAAUGUUGACCUCGGAUCAGGUAGGAAUACCCGCUGAACUUAAGCAUAUCAAUAAGCGGAGGA
rnacentral:misc_RNA from 1 species